rnacentral:lncRNA from 1 species
GCCUAACAAAAGCUUGGACUUCUUUAUUUUCGGUUAGGAUUUCUCAACCUGCAAAAAUAUAGCUCAAUUAUUAUACUCGAUUGUUUUCAUUAUCCAAACACCAGAACCAACUCUAUGUAGUAUUAUAGAUCAAUUAGAACACAACUUUGAGGAGAAAGUGCGAACCAAAAGCACCAAAAACAAACAUUUGUUGAGUUUCAUUCAAGCCCCUUAGGAAAAUGGCUUGGUGAGGAAGAAUUUUCUCCACUUUCUCGGAGAGAAAUUAAGCGAGUGUUCAUUAUGCAUCAUGUUUUUUUCUUAUUCUUGUAUAUACAUUUAUGAAUUGAUAAAAACCAGAAUGGAUUGGCUUUGGUAAAAACAAUUGGGCAGAUGAAGCAAAAAGCUUACUUCUAGAUUGGCCUCAGCGCUGCCACAUUAUCAAUGGGAUUGCUUGUGGACUCCUUUACCUUCAUCAAGAUUCAAGAUUAAGAGUAAUUCAUAGAGAUCUGAAAGCCAGCAAUGUUUUAUUAGAUAACGAGAUGAAUCCAAAAAUUUCAGACUUUGGCCUGGCUAGAUGUUUUGGAGGAAAUGAAACUGAAGCCAACACAAACAAAGUGGCUGGUACAUAGUAAGUCUAUCAAGCAUCUCUAAUUUAUUUCUAUUGCCCACAAAUGCAAUCUAACACUAACAUUCUGUGUACGUACAGUGGCUACAUAUCCCCAGAGUACGCAAAUUAUGGACUCUACUCGCUAAAAUCUGAUGUCUUCAGCUUUGGUGUAUUGGUGCUAGAGAUAGUAAGUGGGUACAGGAACAGAGGAUUCUGCCACCCAGACCACCAACUCAACCUUCUUGGGCAUGUAAGUGUCAUAAUUGUUGCAUUUUCUUGUUUUCUGAAACCACAUUUCUUUGUUUCAAAUGACGUGGUUAAAUUUCAAAAAUCAGGCUUGGAGACUGUUUAAAGAAGGCAGGCAUGUGGAGCUGGUUGGGGGAUUAAUAUUUGAAACUUGCAAAUUAUCUGAAGUUCUACGGUCGAUUCACAUAGGUCUAUUAUGUGUGCAAGAAAAUGCAAAAGAUAGGCCGAACAUGUCACAGGUGGUUUUGAUGCUGGGUAAUGAAGAUGAAUUGCCUCAGCCUAAACAUCCAGGUUUUUUUACUGGAAGGGAUCUUAUUGAAGCAAGCCAUUCAUUAAGUCAGAACAAACCAUGUUCUGCAAACGGAUGCUCGGUCUCCCUGUUAGAGGCACGGUAGAUUUGUAUCUGCCAUGUAUUUGCAGAAACUUUUAGUUGCUUCUAGCUUCUUCUUCUUUUUAUCAGCAUAAAAAUAAUGUACUUUGUUCAAGCACAACUUUAUGCAUCAGCAAUGAAGCUCAAAAUUGUCAGACAUUUGGAUUAAGUGCACAGGAAAGUAAUUGAAGAAAGAGCAAAAAAAUUAUAAUACUCCUACUAGCGUACUAGGCAUGUACGUUAACAUCUAGAAAGCAAGGAGGGAGAUCUCAAAUGGAGUAAAAAACCAAAAAUUAUGCUUGCAUAUAUCUAAAGAGAAAAAUCACAUGCCACCACUGGAAAUGACAACAAUAAGAGGCAAACACAAAUUUCAAGAAUUGGAGCUUGAAGGUAUUUACCUUUAUAGUGGCACAUUUGUAGUCUGUAGAGUUAGCUUCAAUUCCUUUCUGGGUUCGCAUUAAGGAGCGUGUGUGCUGUGCCCAUUUGAGAGGCUAAAAUGGAUGCCUUGGUACUUAGUAUUUGCAUUGCAAAAUCUCUGCACGCCGUGACACCGUUUCUCGUUGAGGAUUUUCGUCGAACACUUGCUGAAUCAAAAUAGUGAUCAGACGCUUUCAAUGGGUUGGGUGGACAAAAUGUUAAGACCAAGAACAAGGUCCAAAAGGCAAGUAUAAGCGCUUAACGAGUGGUGCAAGACCUGGAAAGAGCCUGCAGUGAGAGGUUAGCAAUUGCAUCAUUAAAAAUUCAUCGAAUGGGUUUGUAGUGUCUGUUACCGAUGAGGUUUUUAAUUUGCCAUGCUGUUUUUCUUAUAUACAAUAACUAAUAAAUAGAACCAUGUAUUAUUAUUUUUUCUAUCAUUUGAUGAACUUAAAUAUCAAAUAGAAAUACAUAUUUACUCAUUUAAACAUACUUAUUCAAAAUAAUUAAUUUUAAACUAGAAUUAUUCAUUAAAUUUAUUUCAAAA